rnacentral:rRNA from 1 species
UACGUAGGGUGCGAGCGUUGCCCGGAUUUAUUGGGCGUAAAGGGCGCGUAGGCGGCCACGCACGUCCGUUGUGAAAUCGCCCGGCUCAACUGGGCGGGGUCGGCGGAUACGGCGUGGCUGGAGGAAGCUAGGGGGCAAUGGAAUUCCCGGUGUAGUGGUGGAAUGCGUAGAUAUCGGGAGGAACACCAGUGGCGAAGGCGGUUGCCUGGAGCUUUGCUGACGCUGAGGCGCGAAAGCCAGGGGAGCAAACGGG